ACACGACUACAUUAGAUACCCGCGUAGUCCCAGCCCUAAACGAUGCGCGUUAGGUGUAUCGGUGACCACGUGUCACUGAGGUGCCGAAGGGAAACCGUGAAACGCACCGCCUGGGGAGUACGGUCGCAAGGCUGAAACUUAAAGGAAUUGGCGGGGGAGCACCGCAACGGGAGGAGCGUGCGGUUCAAUUGGAUUCAACGCCGGACAACUCACCAGGAGCGACGGUUACAUGAAGGCCAGGCUGAUGACCUUGCCUGAUUUUCCG
rnacentral:rRNA from 1 species